GAUGAACGCUGGCGGCGUGCUUAACACAUGCAAGUCGAACGGGAAACCUUUUAAUGAAGCUUCGGCAGAUUUAGCUGGUUUCUAGUGGCGGACGGGUGAGUAACGCGUGGGUAACCUGCCUUAUACAGGGGGAUAACAGUCAGAAAUGACUGCUAAUACCGCAUAAGCGCACAGGACCGCAUGGUCCGGUGUGAAAAACUCCGGUGGUAUAAGAUGGACCCGCGUUGGAUUAGCUUGUUGGUGGGGUAACGGCUCACCAAGGCGACGAUCCAUAGCCGGCCUGAGGGGGGGAACGGCCACAUGGGGAAUGAGACACGGCCCAGACCCCCACGGGGGGCAGCAGUGGGGAAAAUGGCAAAAGGGGGGAAGCCCUGAGGCAGCGACGCCGGGGGAAGGAAGAAGUAUCUCGGUAUGUAAACUUCUAUCAGCAGGGAAGAUAGUGACGGUACCUGACUAAGAAGCCCCGGCUAACUACGG
rnacentral:rRNA from 1 species